AAGGAUUUAAGUUAAAAAAACUUGGAACCUUCAAAGUUCUCAUUAAAAGAAAUCUCUUUUAAGCCUUA
rnacentral:tRNA from 1 species